rnacentral:RNase_P_RNA from 1 species
GUGUAAGAGACUACCGCCCUGCUGGUAACAGCAGGGGCAGAUGUAAACCCCAUCCGAAGCAAGACCGAGCAGAGAACGAUACGGUUGCCCGCCGUGUUUUCGGGUAGGUCGCUUGAGAGUAUUGGUAACAAUACUACCAGAUAGAUGAUUGUCGCGUUUUAUACGUACAGAACCCGGCUUAUAGUGAUACUGACUUU